rnacentral:rRNA from 1 species
CAGUCGAACGAGAGAGAGGGAGCUUGCUUCCUCAAUCGAGUGGCGAACGGGUGACUAUCGCGUGAGGAACCUGCCUCAAAGAGGGGGACAACAGUUGGAAACGACUGCUAAUACCGCAUAAGCCCACGACCCGGCAUCGGGUCGAGGGAAAAGGAGCAAUCCGCUUUGAGAUGGCCUCGCGUCCGAUUAGCUAGUUAGUGAGGUAAUGGCCCACCAAGGCAACGAUCGGUAGCCGGACUGAGAGGUUGAACGGCCACAUUGGGACUGAGACACGGCCCAGACUCCUACGGGAGGCAGCAGUGGGGAAUAUUGCACAAUGGGGGAAACCCUGAUGCAGCGACGCCGCGUGGAGGAAGAAGGUCUUCGGAUUGUAAACUCCUGUUGUUGAGGAAGAUAAUGACGGUACUCAACAAGGAAGUGACGGCUAACUACGUGCCAGCAGCCGCGGUAAAACGUAGGUCACAAGCGUUGUCCGGAAUUACUGGGUGUAAGGGGAGCGCAGGCGGGAAGACAAGUUGGAAGUGAAGUCUAUGGGCUCAACCCAUAAACUGCUUUCAAAACUGUUUUUCUUGAGUAGUGCAGAGGUAGGCGGAAUUCCCGGUGUAGCGGUGGAAUGCGUAGAUAUCGGGAGGAACACCAGUGGCGAAGGCGGCCUACUGGGCACCAACUGACGCUGAGGCUCGAAAGUGUGGGUAGCAAACAGGAUUAGAUACCCUGGUAGUCCACACCGUANACGAUGAUUACUAGGUGUUGGAGGNUUGACCCCUUCAGUGCCGCAGUUAACACAAUAAGUAAUCCACCUGGGGAGUACG